rnacentral:lncRNA from 1 species
UCGUUCAUAGUCAUAUGUGACGAGAAGAGGAAAACGUUAUACACAUCAUGAAAGAUCAUCUUUGCAUGUACCCAUAUUUUUUGGUGAGGCAAAGUUGCAAUUUUUGUACCUUCAUAGUCAAUAACUUCAUGAAGAAAGAUUAACAUGCUAACACCUCAUGCUUCAGGCAAAAUCACAUUAAGAUGGUUAUUAAGUCCUUUCAUAUCUAUGCAAAAUCACAUUAAUAAUAAGCCCAUAACACUUUUAAGCAUACUCGUGAAUCCAAAAUUCAACAAAUCAUUUGAAAGAAAACAAAAUGGUACCCAUCACAACAAAAAUUAAUUAUGGACUUACCAUGAAGCGAAUUUCUUCUUAGGUACAUAAUCACAAGAAUAUAAGGUGAUCAAAUUAUAAAAACAAAUGUUAUAAGGAAAAAUAAUACUUAUAGAAGCACUUGGAACAACUUCAUCAUAGGGACAUACAGAAAGAAGAGAGAAGAUCCAAUCAGUUCAUGAUGAUUCAGGCAUAGGGCCGGUCCAAACAUACAUGGGGCCCGGGGCGAAAAGAAAAACAAGGCCUCUCAAAUACAAAUAUAAUAAAGAUUCAAAAAAUUAUCAUUACUCUUCAAUAUAGACGUUCUCAAUUAGAAAUAAAAAGCAAACUAAAUUGUUUAUAUUUUGAGCUAAAUUGAGUUUCAACCAACUUUAGGUCCUAAAAAUCAUUUCNNCUCUCUCUCUCUCUAUAUAUAUAUAUAUAUAUAAACUACAUAGACCAUAAAUUUUGGGACCCCUGGAGUCGUGGGCCCUGGGCGGUCGCCCGGGUUGCCCACCGUCUGGACCGGCCAUAUGCACCAUGACUAGCAAUCUUAAGCAUAACUGGACUCAUUUAUCACUGCCCCAAAAAUGAAGUACUUAUGAACAAAUGAUUUAUCCAUAAUUCUACAUCAGUGUGAUAAAGCAUAACUAAAAGGCACAAAUGAUCAAUAAAAUUUAACUGAAAGUGAUAGAUAGAACUACAAUUUUGAGAAGUACGGAAGUAAAAGAAACGUAACUGUUGAGUAAGUUACCUAAUCUGGCUGUGGUAGGUGUUCAUCCUCGGCAAGGAUUUUCUUCGGCGACGUCUGUUCCAUUCUUUAUUUCAGGAGGAAUUGAAGUACAAUUUUGAAAACAGAGGAAUUGAUGUCUAAUCCAUUCUUAUAUAGCCUUGCGUAGUGAUGGCGAUAGUGGAUUGUUAGUUGGGAGACGAAGCAGGGGAGUUAGGGUUUUCGCAGCAGAUCAUGGAAUCGAACGUGGGAGAAGAUUGAUAUCCGAUUGAAAGAAUUAUGAGAUCGUGGAGGGAAGAAGACAUUAGCAUCGAGAGUAAUCGUAAACAGUGAUUUAGA